rnacentral:rRNA from 1 species
AGUUAUGCUGAGAGGUAGAAUAACCACAAUGGGACUGAGACACGGCCCAUACUCCUACGGGAGGCAGCAGUAGGGAAUUUUUCACAAUGGACGAAAGUCUGAUGGAGCAAUGCCGCGUGAACGAUGAAGGUCUUUUUAGAUUGUAAAGUUCUUUUAUUUGGGAAGAACAGUUAAUAGAGUGGAAAGCUAUUAAUUUGACUGUACCAUUUGAAUAAGUAACGACUAACUAUGUGCCAGCAGUCGCGGUAAUACAUAGGUUGCAAGCGUUAUCCGGAUUUAUUGGGCGUAAAACAAGCGCAGGCGGAUUAGAAAGUCUGGUGUUAAAAGCAAUUGCUUAACGAUUGUAUGCAUUGGAAACUUCUAGUCUAGAGUUUGGUAGAGAGUCCUGGAACUCCAUGUGGAGCGGUGAAAUGCGUAGAUAUAUGGAAGAACACCAGAGGCGAAGGCGAGGACUUGGGCCAAUACUGACGCUUAGGCUUGAAAGUGUGGGGAGCAAAUAGGAUUAGAUACCCUAGUAGUCCACACUGUAAACGAUGGAUGUUAAGUGUCGGAGCAAAUACUUCGGUGCUGCAGAGGAAACGAAUACUUCGGUGCUGCAG